rnacentral:rRNA from 1 species
UACAGAGGUCUCAAGCGUUGUUCGGAUUCAUUGGGCGUAAAGGGUGCGUAGGUGGCGGGGUUAGUCAGGUGUGAAAUCUCGGGGCUCAACCCCGAAACUGCACUUGAUACUGCCUUGCUAGAGUACUGGAGAGGAGAUUGGAAUUUACGGUGUAGCAGUGAAAUGCGUAGAUAUCGUAAGGAAGACCAGUGGCGAAGGCGAAUCUCUGGACAGUUACUGACACUGAGGCACGAAAGCCAGGGGAGCAAACGGG